UACGAAGGGGGCUAGCGUUGCUCGGAAUCACUGGGCGUAAAGGGUGCGUAGGCGGGUUUUUAAGUCAGGGGUGAAAUCCUGGAGCUCAACUCCAGAACUGCCUUUGAUACUGAAGAUCUUGAGUCCGGGAGAGGUGAGUGGAACUCCGAGUGUAGAGGUGAAAUUCGUAGAUAUUCGGAGGAACACCAGUGGCGAAGGCGGCUCACUGGUCCGGUACUGACGCUGAGGUGCGAAAGCGUGGGGAGCAAACAGG
rnacentral:rRNA from 1 species